UACGUAGGGUGCGAGCGUUAAUCGGAAUUACUGGGCGUAAAGCGUGCGCAGGCGGUUUUGUAAGCCAGAUGUGAAAGCCCCGGGCUUAACCUGGGAAUGGCAUUUGGGACUGCAAGGCUGGAGUGUGGCAGAGGAGACUGGAAUUCCUGGUGUAGCAGUGAAAUGCGUAGAUAUCAGGAGGAAUACCGAUGGCGAAGGCAGCUCGCUGGGACGUUACUGACGCUGAGACGCGAAAGCGUGGGGAGCAAACAGG
rnacentral:rRNA from 1 species